UUACAUUAACCAUUAAUCAAUUUUGACUCCACUUAAAUAUUAGAUAAAUGACGUCAAAAAUCACAAAAUUCAGAAUUUAAAAAGUUCAAAUAGUCUAUGGAUCAAAUAACGCGCCGAUUGGCGAUUCAAUGUGCCAGCGUCGAAAAUGGCGGGGAAGUAAAUGGCUUUAGUUAAUUUACUAUGAAAAGUAUUCCAACUUACUCCGCAGAAGAUAUAUAACGGCGGCAAAAUAAAUCUCCAUAGUUUGUGAUAACUCUUUCGCAUUCCCAUAAAAUUGACGCUAAUCCCGCUGAAGUUAGAAGUCUAGAAGCUUCAUUUCUGCGUCCAAACAGAGAAGUUGCUCAAAAAGUCACGCAAACAAGUAUAUUAUUACUUAAGAAACCUGCAGUAUUUUCUUCAAGUGAAUAAAAAACAAGAAACCCAUAUACAUGGUGGAUGGUGGAGAUUAUUUAAUGACUCAUUUCACAUGCAAUGAUAAAGAAGUAACAAAUAAGAAUUCAACAAAUUAAUUGGUAUAUAUCCAGCGGAAAUGAAACUGCAUUCUCGUAAGAUUGAGAGGGCUCUGAACCUAAAAAAUCGAUCUAAUAGAAAAUGAUCCAGAAAUAGUUUUACGAAUAAGCACAAAAUAGAUCAUUCCGUAAGCAGCUAAUAAAUCACCUUAAGCACGGAUAUCAUUUUCCCAGUUUUUCUGCUAACAAGCAAUCUUUCAAUGAUCUGCUAGUUUUGGGGGAAAUCUCCGAACGCAAUCGAACUCAUCAGCUCGAUGUGAUCUUUGCGUCUGAUGUAUAUAUAAAAAUCCAUGUGAGCAUUCCAGUUUAAUCCAGGAAUAAAACUAACCAUCCCCUCCUCCUACUUCUAUUCUGCAACUUAAUCCAGGUAUGAUAAAGUUAUCCCUUCUCCAUUCAACAGAGAUAUUACAGGAAUCUGAACUAGUAUAUAAAAGAGAAUAUUAAAGUUUUAAUUAAUUGAGGUGGAAUGUGAUAUGAGGCUUAUUUGGCCCGACCGGAGCUUUUACAGAUACGUUAUUUGAGUAAAGCUGUUCGGAAAAUUACUAACGAUUCUUUUCAUUGAAAUCACUCCAAUAGCUUUUCGGGCCUAAAACCUCAUUUUACAGGGGUAUACAUGCAAAUACAUAAGUUAUGCAGGGAAUAGAAACUAAAGUAGAAGAUGUGGAAGCUUGAGAUUGGCAAGGGAGGGCCAUGGCUCAAAAGUAAAUUUAAUCACCUUGGAAGAGAAAUUUGGGUGUAUGAUGAACAGCUCGGAUCGAGCGAGGAGCGAGAAGCGGUCGAAAACGCGCGCAAAGAAUUUUGGAGGAACAGGUUCAGUCAGAAACACAGCUCCGAUAAGUUGGCUCGAAUGCAGGUAUCUUCUCCAUCUACACCUGCAUGCUCAAAAUAUAUAAGCAUGGUUACAGUAUAAAUUCUUAGCGAGUUUUAUAGGAAUUUACAUAUAUAUAUAUAUAUAUAUAUAUAUAUAUAUUAAUUUUAUAUAUAAAUAUAUAUAUUAUAGUGUGAGGCUACUAUGCUUCUGAAAGCACGGAGCCUUCCGUGCUUUCAGGUUGUUUUCGAUGUUGCGACUUUCGAACCGUCGAUCGCUCCGUUAAACUUGAUCUAGAAUAUUUGAAGUACCUAGAAAAUAAAUUUUACGAUUUUUCAAUAUCAUUUGCCUAGUGAUGAAGGGUUCAAAAUCAAUCAUUUUAACGGCCGUAGUGAGCCGUUUGCAAGUUUAACGGUGUAGAAAUAUCCAAAUCACGUGAAAUUUUGAUAAAAAUUCUUUAUACUACAUAAAACAAGAUCAAUAUCUUUGAUCUAAAUUUUAAUGUUAUAUUAUCACGUUUGUAAGUUGAUUUUGAGCCCCUUCGUUCACUAGGCAAAUAAUCGAAAAUCACAUAAUUUAUUUUCUAGGUACUUCAAAUACUCUAGAUCAAAUUUAACGGAGCCGAUCGACGAUUCGAAAGUCGCAACAUCGAAAACGACCUGGAAGCACGGAAGGCUCCGUGCUUCCAGAAGCAUAGUAACCUCACUCUAUAUAUAUAUAUAUAUAUACCUGCAACUUAUAAACAUAUAAUAAACCAUAGUAAUAUAUAUACAUAUCCCUUGAAUUUGCAGUUUUUUACGAAAAGAACCCUAUAUUAAGUUGGAUAGGUUUUCUAUUAGAAAGAGUUCUCUAAAAAGGGGCACUAUUGUAAGUACAUAUGAUUAUACAGGUGAGAGGUAUGCUCCGGGAGGGCACAUAUGAAAUUUAAUAUUUGUGAAGAUACACGUGUAAAUAGAGAAUUUUGCAGGGAUAAACAUGCAAACAUCUCAAACUGUAAUUAAUAGAUCACACAAAUGUUGAGUACCUGAAAAACCCGAAAGGAAUCAGCUUCACAAGUUUGACGUUGAACCAAAUUAAGAAAAGAAAAGAAGAAGCACAAACAUCUUUACUUCUUGAUCCAAAAUCUUUUUUUUUUUUGUUUUUGUUUUUUUGCAGUUGGCUCAAGAGAAUAAUCCUUGUGGUAUAAAGCCAGAGAAAAUAACAGCGAAAAAUGAUGAGGAAAUCACGGAAAGUGCAGUUUUAGCGAGACACUCAGAAGAGGAAUCAACUAUUUUUCUAGCAUACAAGCAUAUGAUGGGCAUUGGCCUGGAGAUUUUCCAGGACCACUUUUUCUAACUCCCAUUCUGGUAAGUACUUAAAUUACUGACUUAACAAAGCUUUCAAGGAAUUUUUCAGUUUAGUACUCCAAUUAUAGAUUAUUUUUGAAUACUUGAAUUGGUGGAAAGAAAAUAAAAUGUAGAACAAUCAAUUAAGCAAUUAAUCAAUUGAUUAGUGUACUUUUUCAUUUAUUACAGGUUAUAGCGCUAUACGUAACUGGAUCAUUAAACACUGCAUUACCAUUGGAACAUCAAAAGGAGUUGCGGCGUUAUCUAUGCAAUCACCAAGUAAGGGUUAGAAUUUUCAGCUGAUUAAGCAUUUUAUAAGGCCUUGUUAGGAUAUGCAACAUGAAGACUAGAUUAUAUCAUGCAAAGAAAAUUCAGCAUAUGAGAUAGGGUCAGAAAAAGAAUAAAAAAUGGUCAGAGAAGUUUGGAUUUCAAUUUUGUCCUCAUAGGUUUACUCGUAAUAAUUUAGUCCUGAAAUUAGCACUGCGUAACAACUAAGUCCUUUUUAUAAGUGCCAUUUUCUACCAACAUUGGGCUUCUUUUCAUUAGAUAGAAACUCCUUGGGACGAAAUUGUAACCGAGAUCAAACUUUACGGAGAAUAUUGCAAUUAAGACCAAACUUAAGAGUAACAGUUGACGCACUAUGAGGAUAAAAUGAAAUCAGCAGAAGAUUCCGCGACUGAAUUGUUACAGUUGAAAUUCUAAGGAUGAAAUCGAAACUCAGGACAAAGUUCAGGGACUAAAUUUGUAUCUCACCCUAUAAUACAAUGUAUAUUCAGAAUUCAUACAAUAUAAAAUAAGUUUUAACUAUAAAAAGUACUCGAUCAAGUAAAAUAACACACAUAUCUAUAAAAUCAGCAAUUGUAAUAAAAAAAAAAAUCGCCAGAAUAAGGAUGGAGGUUGGGGACUCCAUACAGAGGGAACGAGCAUUAUGUUUAGCUCUGCACUUUGCUACACUACUUUAAGACUGCUUGACGAAAAAGCCGAGGGUUCUGGACAUGGCGCCAUGGAAAAAGCUCGAAAAUGGAUUCUUGAUCAUGGUGGCGUAACACUAAUACCAACAUGGGGAAAGUUUUGGCUUUCUGUAAGUUCUUUUCGAAAAAUAUUAUGUACACCUCAAAAUGCACCCAAAAUAUUAUUAAUAAGUCAGCAUUGUAUACAUUAUAGAUAGCAAUAUUACUAUUAAUUUAUUCAGCAAUUACUAUGCAUACAAUGCUGACUUAUUAAUAAUAUUCUGAAGUGUAUUCUGAGGUACGUAUAAUAUUACUUGUCUCUUCCUAACCUAACCUCACAACUUCAUCAGAAUAAAGGGGGAAUAAAAGCCCUUAUUCCCCCUUACUCUGCCAACGGUCAUCAGGAACAGCUAUUCCCUCUUAAUGGGGCUAAUUCUUGAAUAACCUACUGAGAGGGGAAAAUUACUGUUCUUUACCUUCAUCUAUAAUAACUAUUCUCGUCUUUGAUCUUCCUCAAAUAGUACUAUUGCCUAACUAGUUUUUUAUAUACUGUCUACUCAACUAAUUAACUUCUUAAUUAAUUAACUGAUUUCAAUAAAGCCAGUCAGAACUCGAAUAUUUUUGGAACGUUUUUGAGAGACUGCCAAACAAACAGAAAAUUUUGGAAAGAUUUUAGUAAUUAAAUUGAUGUUUAAAUGAUGCAUAACAAUCCAGGUACUAGGAGUUUUCAAAUGGUCAGGGGUAAAUCCAAUCCCACCAGAUCUUAUUCUUCUUCCUUCCUCACUACCCAUUUAUCUAGGUAUGUAAUUUAUCCAUUUUCUUUUCACAGAGGAAAAGAAAAUUAUUUCUUUAAACACUGGAUUGCAUAUUAAGUGCAAUUUCAGCAUUCCAUGUUUAAUCAUGUGGUUUGACGUUUUUUUUUUGGGGGGGGGGGGGUCUUAUACUUUCCAUGAUGGCAUUCUCGCUCAAUGGAUUUCAAAUGCUUCUUAUGACAUACUUAAAACUUGAGAAUGUUUGAUUUUUCUUCGUACUGAACAGCUUAUCUAACACAGGACGACUUUGGUGCCAUUUUAGACUAAUCUACGCUCCCAUGUCAUACUUAUACGGAAAGAGGUUUGUCGGUCCUAUAACGAAAACAGAUCUAGAAUUGAGAGAUGAGCUCCAUAGUCAACCUUACCAAAGCAUAGACUGGAACAAAGCAUGCAAGAUGUGUGCAAAGGUUUGUUAUUUAUUUAUGUUUAGAAGAUUCUAGGGCAAUUCUCACGGGAGGGAGAGGUGGAGAGAGCGGAACCAGGUGCGGGGGAGAGGGAGCUCGGUGAGGGAGAGGUGGAGAGGGCGGAACCAGCUGCAGGGCAGAGGGAGCUCGGUGAGGUGAGGGCUGCAAGAAAGCCCGCCGGAAACCCACCGGCGGUGCAGAUCCGCCCUUGGAUCGCACCAGGGCUUUCGUAAACCCACAAGAUUUGGAGAAACCACGAGCGCCGACGGCCGGAGGCGAAGGGAAAGAGAGGACUCACGGGAGGGAGAGGUGGAGAGAGAGGAACCGGCAGCAGGAGAGAUGGAGCUCGGUGAGGUGAGGUGGAGAGACAGGAAACGGCUCGAUCCACGUCAAGUGGGUGCAGGGGUGCAAGAAAGCCUGCCGGAAACCCACCACUGGUGCAGAUCCGGCCUUGGAUCGCACCUUUCGCAAACCCACAAGAUUUGGGAAAACCACGGGCGCUGACGGCCGGAGGAGAAGGGAGGGAGAAGACUCACGGGAGGGAGAGGUAGAGAGAGACGAACCCACGGCGGGAGAGAAGGAGCUCGGUGAGGUAAGGUGGAGAGAGAGGAACCAGCUGCAGGAUCUCGGUGAGAAAAAGCCAGAGAAAGAGCUCGGUGAGGUAAGGGGAGAAGAAGCCAGUAGGGGUAUUUUUGGAAAAUUCCACUCAAGGGGCACACAACGACAAAAAGGGGGUGGGAACUGUUGUCCCCCCCCCCACUUAUCCCGAUGGUGGUGGGAACUGUUGUUCCCACCACCUAAAAAGUUGUUUGGGGAUAAGCUGGGGGAUUAGAGCUAAUCCCCCAGCUUAUUCCAUUCCCAAACACUGCCUUAGUGUAGAACUUGGAGUGCUACCUCAUGAAUAAUAUUUAAGGCCGGAAUGACACAUAUGCUCUCAGAGAUGAUCAAAUAACAAGGUUUAUUAGUUAUCGCCUUAUUCUGAUCUAAAGAGCUAUGAAUGUGCUAUAGUUCUAAAAAGAUACAAUUUCAUGUACUUAGCAGUUNGGGGGGGUCUUAUACUUUCCAUGAUGGCAUUCUCGCUCAAUGGAUUUCAAAUGCUUCUUAUGACAUAGUUAAAACUUGAGAAUGUUCGAUUUUUCUUCGUACUGAACAGCUUAUCUAACACAGGAACAACUUAUCUAACACAGGACGACUUUGGUGCCAUUUUAGACUAAUCUACACUCCUAUGUCAUACUUAUACGGAAAGAGGUUUGUCGGUUCUAUAACGAAAACAGUUCUAGAAUUGAGGGAUGAGCUCCAUAGUCAACCUUACCAAAGCAUAGACUAGAACAAAGCACGCAAGAUGUGUGCAAAGGUUUGUUAUUUAUUUAUGUUUAGAAGAUUCUAGGGCAAUUCUCACAGGAGGGAGAAGUGGAGAGAGUAGAACCGAGUGCAGGGGAAAGGGAGCUCGGUGAGGGAGAGGUGGAGAGGGCAGAGGGAGCUCGGUGAGGUGAGGGCUGCAAGAAAGCCCGCCGGAAACCCACCGGCGGUGCAGAUCCGCCCUUGGAUCGCACCAGGGCUUUCGUAAACCCACAAGAUUUGGGGAAACCACGAGCGCCGACGGCUGGAGGCGAAGGGAAGGAGAGGACUAAUGGGAGGGAGAGGUGGAGAGAGAGGAACCAGCAGCAGGAGAGAUGGAGCUCGGUGAGGUUAGGUGGAGAGAGAGAAAACGGCUCGAUCCACGUCGAGUGGGUGCAGGGGUGCAAGAAAGCCUGCCGGAAACCCACCGCCGGUGUAGAUCCGGCCUUGGAUCGCACCUUUCGCAAACCCACAAGAUUUGGGGAAACCACGGGCGCCGACAGCAGGAGGAGAAGGGAGGGAGAAGACUCACGGGAAGGAGAAGACUCACGGGAGAGAGAGGUAGAGAGAGACGAACCCACGGCGGGAGAGAAGGAGCUCGGUGAGGUAAGGUGGAGAGAGAGGAACCAGCUGCAGGAUCUCGGUGAGAAAGAGCCAGAGAAAGAGCUCGGUGAGGUAAGGGGAGAAGAAGCCAGCAGGGGUAUUUUUGGAAAAUUCCACUCACGGGGCACACAACGACAAAAGGGGGUGGGAACUGGGAACUGUUGUUCCCACCGACCCCCCUCACUUAUCCCGAUGGUGGUGGGAACUGUUGUUCCCACCACCUAAAAAUUGUUUGGGGAUAAGCUGGGGGAUUCGAGCUAAUCCUCCAGCUUAUUCCAUUCCCAAACACUGCCUUAGUGUAGUUAACUUGGAGUGCUACCUCAUGAAUAAUAUUUAGGGCCGGAAUGACACAUAUACUCUCAGAGAUGAUCAAGUAACAAGGUUUAUUAGUUAUUGCCUUAUUCUGAUCUAAAGGGCUAUGAAUGUGCUAUAGUUCUAAAAAGAUACAAUUUCAUGUGCUUAGCAGUUAGCAUUUUGAGACUAUUUGUUCACAAAUGUAACAUGUAUUGUCUCUGUCUAUUAUUUAGCACUAAAUAUGUGCUUUCUAGAUUAUUGGUUCUUUUGCUAGUAAGAAAUACAAUUAGGACUUAUUUCCUUUCAAUAAUUCAAGCAUUGUUAAAGUAUGUCAAACAACCACGUUUCUCUAAAAGCUUAAGAUACUAGAGAGCGGUGUUUUUAAUAUUUAUAUUCAACAAUUCCUCUCAUACCUGGACUCGAGACUUUUGAUAGGCCCAAGGCGAGGAUUUGAAUUAUACGGGAAGAAAUUAAAUAAAUCUAAAGGCCCGACAGGACUCAAACUCAGGAUCUGAUGCUCUGUUACAAUAUUAAAGUAUAUGAAACAACAAUUGUUUCAUAUACUUUUAGGUAGCACGGUAUCAGAGCCAAUUCUAAACCCCUUCAUUUUGUGAGAUUGUGGUUUCAAUCCCCACUUUCAACAAAUAACAGGUUAAAUUCUCAUUAUAUAAUGAGUUAAAUCUCCAUCUUCUAUCUCACCUAUCAAUUCCACAUACCUUUCAUAUUCAUUAUGUACGUGAGUAGGGCUUUUAAUAUAUAUUCCUGAAACCAUUUCUUGCUAGAUUGAUCUUUUAGGUAACACUUCUCAAAAUACAAUUACAAGGGAGUAGACUUACACAGAGCUCUUUUGAUGAACUUGAAACUACAGGAAGAUCUCUACCAACCGCACUCGCUGUUUCAGGACUACUUAGCAGAAUUCCUUUACAGGAUCCUCGAACCUCUAUUUGCUCAUUGGCCCCUUUCCGUUUUGAGAAAGAAGGCACUGCAAGAGAUAAUGCAAUACAUACACUAUGAAGACGAGAAUUCUCUGUACUUAUCUGUUGGAGCUGCACAGAAGGUAAGUAACAGCUAAGAAAUCAUAUGUGUGAAAAAAAAGGAUAUAUAUAUAUAUAUAUAUAUAUUAAGAUUUCAUGAUGCAACAUUGCACAAAAAGAUAUUCUUCCAGGGGUAUAUAUGUAACUAAAUACUGAAGAGGAGAAAAAAAGCCUCAUGCUCUAAACGAUAUACCAAAAGGAUUGGUAAUAUUCUGAGUCUCCGACAUACUGCUGAAAUAAAAAGAAAGAAAAUUUCAUUAAACUUAAUCCAUGUUGAUCACACAACUUGAUGAAUCACUUACUCAAUGCAGACCUUAUGCAUGCUUUCCUGCUGGGUGGAAAAUCCAAGUGCAGAUACAUUCAAGUUUCACCUCGCUAGAAUACCUGAUUAUCUAUGGGUUAGUGAAGAUGGCAUGAAAAUGCGGGUAAUUUCUAUAACUUAAUUGAUGAGAUCUUCUGUGAAACAUUUUACUCGUAUGAGAAUUGUGACUACAGAAAAAAAAAAAAAUAUUCGCCUUAAUAGAAAAUAAAAAAAACUAUUUGACUAACUCUUACUCAACUUGAUGCCUAUUUUGAUCUAGCUCCUGGAACAGCUUCUCUAAUAUGAGAAGCAGCAAAUAGGCAUGUGAUAAACACCAAGUGUAGAACUUCUGCUACAAUGGGAAGCUGAAAUAAACUUCUAAACCCCAAAAGCUAGAAGCAGACUAGGAGCUUCUACUGCAGUUGGAAAUGGUUAGAAUUACACGGGCGGAAACGUUUUUAGAGCUUUCUUGAAUAGCUUUACACAAAAAGAACUUCUGCAGAAACUCUAGAGAGGCUGAACGAACGCUUUAAUUUAGGUUCUAGUAAUGGUUUGAUGUGGUUACCAUCUAUUUGUAGUCUUGUGGGAGUCAGUUGUGGGAAGCAGCUUUGGCAGUCCAAG
rnacentral:lncRNA from 1 species